GAUGAACGCUGGCGGCGUGCCUAAUACAUGCAAGUCGAGCGAAGCGGGGACGGGGGAGUAACACGUGGAUAACAUCCUAUCAGACUGGGAUAAAUUCGGGAAACCGGAGCUAAACCGGAAACUUAGAGAAGGAUCCGCGCUGCAUUAGCUAGUUGGUAAGGUAACGCCUUACCAAGGCAGCGAUGCAUAGGCGACCUGAGAGGGUGAUCGGCCACACUGGAACUGAGACACGGUCCAGACUCCUACGGGAGGCAGCAGGAGGGAAUCUUCCGCAAUGGGCGAAAGCCUGACGGAGCAACGCCGCGUGAGUGAUGAAGGUCUUCGGAUCGUAAAACUCUGUUAUUAGGGAAGCGGUACCUAAUCAGAAAGCCACGGCUAACUACGUGCCAGCAGCCGCGGUAAUUC
rnacentral:rRNA from 1 species